rnacentral:rRNA from 1 species
UACGGGGGGGGGCAAGCGUUUGUUCGGAAUUACUGGGCGUAAAGGGUUUGUAGGUGGCCCGCUAAGUCACACGUGAAAUCCCUCAGCUUAACUGGGGAACUGCGUGUGAGACUGGCAGGCUCGAGGGCAGGAGAGGAACGCGGAAUUCCAGGUGUAGCGGUGAAAUGCGCAGAUAUCAGGAGGAACACCGAUGGCGAAGGCAGGUCUCUGGGCCACUACUGACGUGAGAAGCGAAAGACAUGGGGAGCGAACAGG